CAAGUACUCCCUCUGUCUGGAAUUACUUGUCAUCAAAAUGGAUGUGUCUAGAACUAAAAUACAUCUAGAUACAUCCAUUUCAAUGACAAGUAUUUUCGGACGGAGGGAGUACAAG
rnacentral:pre_miRNA from 1 species